rnacentral:rRNA from 1 species
UACGUAGGGUGCGAGCGUUAAUCGGAAUUACUGGGCGUAAAGCGUGCGCAGGCGGUUCGUUAAGUUCGUUGUGAAAGCCCCGGGCUCAACCUGGGAACUGCAAUGGAAACUGGCGGGCUUGAGUGUGGCAGAGGGGGGUGGAAUUCCGCGUGUAGCAGUGAAAUGCGUAGAGAUGCGGAGGAACACCGAUGGCGAAGGCAGCCCCCUGGGCCUACACUGACGCUCAGGCACGAAAGCGUGGGGAGCAAACAGG